GUGCCAGCCGCCGCGGAAUUCCAGCUCCAAUAGCGUAUAUUAAAGUUGUUGCAGUUAAAAAGCUCGUAGUUGAACCUUGGGCCUGGAUGGCCGGGCCGCCUCACCGCGUGUACUGGUCCGGCCGGGCCUUUCCUUCUGGGGAACUUCAUGCCCUUCACUGGGCGUGUUGGGGAACCAGGACUUUUACUUUGAAAAAAUUAGAGUGUUCAAAGCAGGCCUUUGCUCGAAUACAUUAGCAUGGAAUAAUAGAAUAGGACGUGAGGUUCUAUUUUGUUGGUUUCUAGGACCGCCGUAAUGAUUAAUAGGGAUAGUCGGGGGCAUCAGUAUUCAAUCGUCAGAGGUGAAAUUCUUGGAUUGAUUGAAGACUAACUACUGCGAAAGCAUUUGCCAAGGAUGUUUUCAUUAAUCAGUGAACGAAAGUUAGGGGAUCGAAGACGAUCAGAUACCGUCGUAGUCUUAACCAUAAACUAUGCCGACUAGGGAUCGGACGGUGUUAGUAUUUUGACCCGCUCGGCACCUUACGAGAAAUCAAAGUUUUUGGGUUCUGGGGGGAGUAUGGUCGCGAGGGUGACACUUAAAGAAAUUGACGGAAGCGCACCACCAGGCGUGGAGCCUGCGACUUAAUUUGACUCAACACGGGGUACACUCACCAGGUCCAGACACAAUAAUGGAUUGACAGAUCGAGAGCUCUUUCUUGAUUUUGUGGGUGGCGUGCAUGGUCGUUCAUAGUUGCUGAGUGAUUGUCUGCUUUAGUUGCGAUAACGACCGAGUACUUAUCUGCUAAAUAGCCAGACCCGCUUUGGCGGGU
rnacentral:rRNA from 1 species